UGCCACUGGUUUGCUGGGUGACCUUGGGCAAGUUGCUGCACCUCUGUGCCUCAGUUUCCCCCUCUGUAAAUGGGGAGAAGGACAAUUGCCUCUUUGGUAAAGCACUUUGAGAUCUACUGAUCAAAAGAGCUAGAAGAGCUAAACUGCAUGGAUGCCAUUCUUUGGCUGUGAUAAAUCAAUCAGAGAGAGUCUGCAACUGAAUCAGGAAACUGAGUCUACUGUGUUUCUUGGGUCAUCUGCCAUAGCCCCAGUAGUCAGGGGACUGCACAUUGAGUCGGUGGGAAGGCUUGUGGUGUUUCGAUGACCCAAGAGGUAUGCCAGCAGGAUUUUAACUCCUGGUAGGGCAACCCAUGGCGGACAAAUCAAAGUGCAGAGACCAAUCAAACAGCAGCCCUCUGGUCCUCCAGGUUGGGUGUUGAGCAAUAGGCCAAUACCCUAUCAUCAUCAAAAAGUUACAGAAACAACAAGGUAGAUAUUCCAGCAAACAGCACGAUAGUCUGUGGAUGGUGGAGCCUUGCUAGUGCCCUAAGGUGGCCAACUGCAAUAGAAGGAUUCAGAUUCAGACGUAUGUAUUGAUUAGUCAUGUGUGAUACUCUUAAGACACUGGCACUAGACUAAAAUAAUUGGUAUUGUAUUAGACAAGUUUCAGACACAUAAACUCUCUUCCCAGUAUGAACUAGCAAAAGGCCAGUGCACAAGGAAAAAUCCCUGUGAAAGCUUAUU